rnacentral:tRNA from 1 species
GACGAUUUGGCCGAGUGGUCUCAGGUGCCAGAUUUAUGCUCUGGUCCUGAAGGGCGUGGGUUCAAAUCUCACCGUCGUAA